rnacentral:rRNA from 1 species
GACGAACGCUGGCGGCGUGCUUAACACAUGCCAGUCGAACGGAAAGGCCCUGCUUGCCGGGUACUCGAGUGGCGAACGGGUGAGUAACAUGUGGGUGAUCUGCCCUGCACUUCGGGAUAAGCCUGGGAAACUGGGUCUAAUACCGGAUAGGAGCCAUUUUUAGUGUGAUGGUUGGAAAGUUUUUUCGGUGUAGGAUGAGCUCGCGGCCUAUCAGCUUGUUGGUGGGGUAAUGGCCUACCAAGGCGGCGACGGGUAGCCGGCCUGAGAGGGUGGACGGCCACAUUGGGACUGAGAUACGGCCCAGACUCCUACGGGAGGCAGCAGUGGGGAAUAUUGCACAAUGGGCGCAAGCCUGAUGCAGCGACGCCGCGUGGGGGAUGACGGCCUUCGGGUUGUAAACUCCUUUCGCUAGGGACGAAGCUUUUUGUGACGGUACCUAGAGAAGAAGCACCGGCUAACUACGUG